AGGAUAUUCCCAUCAGCUGAUUUUAGAAAGCUUUUAUGGAAAACGUCACUCAGUGCAUUUACUGUUUGAACUGUUUGACAUAUUAUUUUAACGUACAAUUUUGCGAGAGAGGAAAAUAAAUUUUUGUGUGACGUACUUCAAAAUAUUUAAAAAUAACUGGAUAAAAAAUUAAUUAUUAAAAACUUAGUGAUAUUCAUUUGUGCAUAAUCUUUUGUUGAUUUUAUUUUUUAAAUAAAAAAAACUGUUAUUGUUAAUUGUUUGUUAAUAAAAGUAAAAAAAAAAAUUAUGGUGAAGUGUAUAGUUGGUGGGUGUACAAGUUAUCAUAGGAAAAAACAAUCGAUUCGGUUUUUCACUUUCCCUAAAGAUCCUGUCCUUCGAUCUAAAUGGGUAAGAGCUUGCGGGAGAAAAACCAAAUUUAGUGUAGGAACUGCCCGAAUUUGUUCAAAUCACUUUGCGGUUGACAGCUACAAACUUCAGGAUAUCUUACUAAAUGUCCCAGAAGGGAAAAGCCAUUUAAAGGAAUCUGCUGAACCAACUUUAUAUCUUCCGGACGUACUAGAAAAAGGCGAAAAAAGAGAAAAGAAAAAACAAAAGAGAUCGCAAGAAACUCGUGCAGGAAGCUAUAGCAGAAUUUACCUCUGAUUCAAUUGACAAUGUUUAGCAAAUUCUCAAAGAAAACGAUGAUUCAGUUGUUUUAAGAACAGGGGAAAUUGGAGUUCAAACCGAAAUAAAUUUGGAAAACUAUUUACAAAAACAAAACUUUGAUUUGAGGAAAAAAAUACAGAAUUUACUACAUUCACUACAACAUAAUUAUGAUAAAAUAAAAGUGAUAUUUGCUCCAGGGCAGCUAAAGGUCGGUGGAAGAUAUAUCAUCUGCUAUAUCUUUAUAUGCGGCAGGACCUAGAGCUUACCGGGUUUUAUUGCAACGGAGUUACCCACUACCUUCUGUAUCAACUUUAAAAAAGUGGGCUCAAAAACUUAAAUUAAAUCCAGGUAUAUUGAGUCUUGUUUUCAAAUUGUUGCAAAAUGCGACGUAUAAUGAACUCGAACGUUUGUGCAUUUUAAUGUUUGAUGAAAUUUGUAAAAAAUCUUGCUUUGAGUAUGAUAGCACUAACGACAAAGUGUUGAAACCGAGUAGAUAUGCACAAGUUGUUAUGAUCAAAGGAUUAAUUAAGAAUUGGAAGCAAAUUAUUUUUUACAACUUUGACACUCCAAUGACGAAAACAAUUGAAUCAUUAAAUUAAUAUCAUAUAAUCGUUCAAAUAUCAUUGAACGAUUAUAUGAUAUUAAUUUUAAAGUUGUU